rnacentral:rRNA from 1 species
CACGUAGGGGGCAAGCGUUGUCCGGAUUUAUUGGGCGUAAAGAGCUCGUAGGUGGUUCGAUAAGUCGGGUGUGAAACCUCCAGGCUCAACCUGGAGACGCCACCCGAUACUGUCGUGACUAGAGUCCAGUAGGGGAGCAUGGAAUUCCUGGUGUAGCGGUGAAAUGCGCAGAUAUCAGGAGGAACACCAGUGGCGAAGGCGGUGCUCUGGGCUGGAACUGACACUGAGGAGCGAAAGCGUGGGGAGUGAACAGG